rnacentral:rRNA from 1 species
GGGAUUAGUGGCGAACGGGUGAGUAACACGUGGGCAAUCUGCCCUUCACUCUGGGACAAGCCCUGGAAACGGGGUCUAAUACCGGAUAUGAGCCUGGGAGGCAUCUCCCGGGUUGUAAAGCUCCGGCGGUGAAGGAUGAGCCCGCGGCCUAUCAGCUUGUUGGUGAGGUAAUGGCUCACCAAGGCGACGACGGGUAGCCGGCCUGAGAGGGCGACCGGCCACACUGGGACUGAGACACGGCCCAGACUCCUACGGGAGGCAGCAGUGGGGAAUAUUGCACAAUGGGCGAAAGCCUGAUGCAGCGACGCCGCGUGAGGGAUGACGGCCUUCGGGUUGUAAACCUCUUUCAGCAGGGAAGAAGCGAGAGUGACGGUACCUGCAGAAGAAGCGCCGGCUAACUACGUGCCAGCAGCCGCGGUAAUACGUAGGGCGCAAGCGUUGUCCGGAAUUAUUGGGCGUAAAGAGCUCGUAGGCGGCUUGUCACGUCGGGUGUGAAAGCCCGGGGCUUAACCCCGGGUCUGCAUUCGAUACG